rnacentral:lncRNA from 1 species
AGAAAAGGCGAUGCGCACUUGUUGAGUGACCCUAAAUUGGCCUUCGUUGCUAAGCCCUUGUAGUUGAUAAGGUUGUGGAUGCUUGGUAGUGGUUAAGCAAAGCUUUUCCACCAUCGUCGUGCUGGCUAUGUUCGAGCAACUUUCACCAUCAAUAAUAACUCUACAAAGCUUACCUUGUACAUGGCAGCGAGUAUGAAAGAGAUGUUCUCGUUGCUGCUCGCUCUUUGGUUUUGCCAAAGAUGAUUGUCCACGAUCAUGAAAAUCAUCAUCCAUUCUAGGGACACGUUGAGGGUUGCACCUAUGGGGCUGGUUAUCC